CCCAGUUGGGCAGUUGGAACUGAGGCAAAGAACUGAGGUGUCUGUAUUAGAAGGGAAAGUAAGGAGGGUAAGAUUAGCAAUUUAUGGUUUACUAAUUAGACUGUGGGCCUAAUGUGAAGGUCUGCUUAUCAGUUUUAAUGUUUUGUUUAUAGGGGAAAAUUUCCAACCAACCGUCUUAUGAAUAAAGUUACCUUGUUGAAUGUCACGGAUAUUCAUUCACCUUGUAAAGAGCAGAAAAAAAAAGAAUGUCACAGAUAGUAGGUCCUAAUAAUAAUUAACAAAUAUAUUGAUUUU
rnacentral:lncRNA from 1 species